UGUCUAAAAAAAAGUGUUGAACGCCACACGAAAACAAAAGAAAAGGCGUAAUAUCAGCGUUGUGGCUGAGAACUAAACACGUGUUUUGAGAGGCAACACCCCCACAAUGGACGUCAGAGGAGGUUCCCAUUUCAAUUGUGAGGGGGCAAACUGUAGAGAGGCCGGUGAGAUUCUGGAUAAAGACAAAGGGUUUUUCUUUGCCUCUAAGCAGAGUACAUACGUGAUCCUGUUCUACCUGAUCCUGGCGCCGGUCAUCAUGGCGUUUCUGUUCUGCUGCUAGAGCUGGUACGAGAAGGCGUGCGAGGACUGCGAUGACAGGGAGUCUAAGCUGAUGAUGCAGGCCGUGCCCAACUACAAACUCAAGUACGAGUGUUGUAAGAAAAAUGUCGCACCUAUCUUGUUCCCCAUCCAGCCAGACUUUGACUUCAAGCACCACUGUGGACAAAAUUGUUUGGGUCCCAAUAAGGUGCAGGCACCCAGGUACAUCUGAACAUCUGUACACAUCUUCGGUGUGAACAUCUAGACAUCUGAACAUCUGGUCUAUGUCAACAUCUAGACAUCUCAACAUCUGGUCUAUGUCAACAUCCAGACAUCUCAACAUCCGGUUUAUGUCAACAUCCAGACACCUAAACAUCUAGACACCUCAACAUCUGAUCUAUGUCAACAUCUAGACACCUAAACAUCUGGUCUAUGUCAACAUCUAGACACCUAAACAUCUGGUUUAUGUCAACAUCUAGACACCUCAACACGUGUUAUAUUUGAAUAACUAAACAGCCUGAUUAUUUAAGCCUAUACCAUCGUUAAAUUAUGUAUUUUUUAAACACAAAAUGUUCUCAUUCGUUCAACGCGCCAUUAACAAAAUAUUUUUAAAACAUCGAUUGUUAGAAAUCUAAAAAAAAAUGUAUAUUUUCGUAUCAAGUCUUACAAUAAUUUUUCUUGAUAAAUAUUU